UUCAUCAUUUGUAAUGCCAUCUCCUGGAAACAAACUCAUAUGCCUCAUAUCAUUAUUACACAAAAUCUAGAUGUAGAUGCUACUCAUGGUUACUGAGUAUUUUUAGUUACAAAGCCACCAACACUGGACUUGCUAUAAUCAAUGAUAUAUCCCUGCUGUUCAAAUGGAUUUCCUCUUGAUAGGCAUCCAUUCUAGCAAUAUGAUGAUAGUAAAAUCCUUUCUUCUGUUUGAAUUUUUGUGCUUAUAGGCGGGUCUAAAUAACAAAGAGUUUUUUAAGACUACAAGUUAACAGUGUGGUUUUGUAGGAAAUGCCAGAAUUUUGCAAAGAAGUUUCAAAUACCAGAUGAGAAACAAGCUUAAAAGGCAACAUAUAUAAUGGUCAUGAUUACUUGCGACUAGUUUGUUGCUUUAAUG
rnacentral:lncRNA from 1 species